CACUAAUAAGAGAAAAUCUCAGAUAUCAUAUUUAUUAUAAUCAUUAGGAUAGGCAACCACAGCAAAACUUGAAAUGCUUUCUUUGGUUUUUCUAAUUCCAUCAAAGAACAUGUAUUUUCUACCUGAAUAUAUAAAGAAUUACAUUAAUACACAGAAACAAAUAAAAGGCCAUGAUAGAUUAACAGAGGUACCUAUUCCAAAAUUUCAGAAAAGAAAUAAUGUUUUUGCACCAAAACCUUAUAGUUAUGAAGGGGCACUGGGCUAGGAAUUAGAGAAUUCUUUUCUCUUUAUUCUUGGCAUUUCUGAAAUCCCUGUAUUAUUCUGGGACGAGGACUCUCCCUUUCUUUGAGCUCAUUGUCUUCAUGG
rnacentral:lncRNA from 1 species